rnacentral:rRNA from 1 species
GAUGAACGCUAGCGGCAGGCCUAAUACAUGCAAGUCGAACGGUGUCUUCGGACAUAGUGGCGCACGGGUGCGUAACACGUAUGCAACCUACCUUACAUUGGGGGAUAGCCUUUCGAAAGGGAGAUUAAUACCGCAUAAGACAGUAGCUGGGCAUCCAGCAGCUGUUAAAGAUUUAUCGAUGUAAGCUGGGCAUGCGUCCAAUUAGCUAGUUGGUGAGGUAACGGCUCACCAAGGCAAUGAUUGGUAGGGGAACUGAGAGGUCAAUCCCCCACACUGGCACUGAGAUACGGGCCAGACUCCUACGGGAGGCAGCAGUAGGGAAUAUUGGGCAAUGGACGCAAGUCUGACCCAGCCAUGCUGCGUGCAGGAUGGAGGCGUUAUGCGUUGUAAACUGCUUUUAUACAGGAAGAAACGACUCUUGCGAGAGGCAUUGACGGUACUGUAUGAAUAAGCACCGGCUAACUCCGUGCCAGCCGCCGCCGUAAAAC